AUGUGGAAAACGUCUAAAUUGGAAAUGUACCUAGAGGCCCAGGAUAAAAAGGUGACAAUCAGCAUAAAAGCUCUUUAUAUCCUGCUGGAUGUAUAUCCUGGUAGAAAAGAAGCCAGUCUUCGAUGUUUUAAACCUUAAGCCAUCUCUUAGGAGCUACUAAUGUGACAAUAUCCAGCUACAGAAUGGAUUGACAACAUGAAGGAAUACCCACAACUUCUGCGAAACAGAAACAGAUUUUUUUUUAAAUCAGGAGUCUGAUUUUUCCACAGCCAUGGUUUGCCAAUUAGAGCUGCCCAUUCUGGACAUUUAGAUACAAGCCUAAUGGAUAUUGUCCCCUAUGUUCCCUUCAGCCAGCUGAGCUCUGCCCUCUGCUGCUCCAGGACAUACUCCUUCCAGCACAGCAAGAGGUCUGCAUGCUCACCUGCAUCCCAGACAAGUAAAGGGAUGUAGCAGGUUUUGCAACAAAAGCUACAAUUCCAGCAACAAUUAUAAUGUCAGCACAGAAGUUACGUGUUCCAUGUAAAAUAGUCAAGGAAGAGAAAAAUGGUGCUCCAGUUGUACUUCAUGUGACCCCACAAAAUACCUGUGGACAGGCAUAACUGCUGAAAGCUGCGGCUGAGCUGGCAUCGGGAUGAUAGAAGCACCAGUGUGAGCUCUGCCACUCUGUUUAAAGCUGCAGGAAGUGCAAGGCUUUUGAAAGACCAGGUGUCUAUUCCCUUUAGUUUUUCCUACACCAUCUGCCUGACAAUCAGCAGCGAGGUGAAACUAAUGGCUUAAACAAGCAGACAAAUGGUUCUAAAUGCUGAUUUAGGAGGUUUAGUGCCUUUUCACCUAAACAUGAUCUUCACUGUUUACAAUUCAGAGGUGCUACCUGUCUGAUCAUUCCCCAUCCUCUACUUGCCAAGCUGUACGGCUUAAAAAGAAUAUCACAACUAAUACCAAGAUAGCAGCUAACAACAAAGCUGACUGAACUGGGGCUAAGGUGAAGAACUACUUUUAGUUAGCCUGCUGUUCCAGCUCAGCAGAAAAUAAAACAGUUUGCAGCUUUGGAUGCA
rnacentral:lncRNA from 1 species